UACGUAGGGUGCGAGCGUUAAUCGGAAUUACUGGGCGUAAAGCGUGCGCAGGCGGUUUCGUAAGACAGAGGUGAAAUCCCCGGGCUCAACCUGGGAACUGCCUUUGUGACUGCGAGGCUAGAGUAUGGCAGAGGGGGGUGGAAUUCCACGUGUAGCAGUGAAAUGCGUAGAUAUCAGGAGGAACACCGAUGGCGAAGGCAGCCCCCUGGGCCUGUACUGACGCUCAUGCACGAAAGCGUGGGGAGCAAACAGG
rnacentral:rRNA from 1 species